CUCAAGCCAACACACUUGUGCCAAAAACUCUCAUAUCUCAUCUCUCUCGCGACAGAAACUUCUUAUCAUCUCUCCUACGUUUUCUUUUCCAAUCAAGAUUCACCAUUUUUCGUCGACGGUUUCUUCCAUCAUCAAAUGCCUUCCACUGUGUUACAGAUCCAGUUCUUUUGGUGUCAAGAUGUUCAUGUUCAUUUCUUUCUUCCAGAUCCAGUUUAUUCCCUUUUCAUAUGAGAUCCGACGACAUCAUAAAAGACAGUUUUAGGCUGGUGGCAUUAAAAUCACAGGUUUUUUAUGGGUUACACCGUUAUAAAUCACCUGCUAAGCCUAUUCGUUAGGGUUAUGUGAUCAGUAAGCAUGCCAAUCUGAAUUGAUUUUAUUUUCACAUUCAAAUCACGAUUUUUUUACUAUUUAAUCGGUCCUUUUAAAAUGUUAAAUAUUGAGAUUUGUUAUAUCCAUGGUUAUAUAUUAUUAGACAUUGAUAUGUGGUUCUAUCAAUUUUUGUAAAGCUGGUUCCAGUCGUGAUAUUUAAGAAAUGAUGGUGUCUAUAAGAUUUGCAAUGGAUAAAAGCUGGAUUAGUUAGUUUUGACGGUCCUACACAUAGUGAGUACAAAGGAAUUCCUCUUGAGGAAUCUCUUGAUUUUCAAUCCUUUGGUGAAAAUUUCGGCCAACUAUGCUUCACUUGAGCAAUGCCUAACUUCAAGUUCAACUCGAUUUACCUUUUCCCUCAAGAAGUGAAAUUUGGCUUCGAUAUGCUUACUCCUUCCAUGCAGAACUGGAUUCUUCGCCAUAUUUAUGGCAGACUUGUUGUCGAUUUGCAAGACAAGAGGUUUCUUCACUUCGACCUCCAUUUGUUCAAGUACCGAUCUAAUCCAGAUUGCUUGACACGCAGCAUGUGAUUAUUUUAUGUAUUCAGCUUCACAUGAUAAUAAUGUCACCACAUGUUGUUUCUUCGAACACCAUGAAAUUGAGGCACCAAAUACUUGAAAGAAAUAGCCAGUUAUACUUCUUCGAUCUUCCUUAUCUCUGCACCAAUCAGCAUCUGAAAAACAAGUAUUUGUUGCUUCUUUGCUUUUAGAGUCUUGUCGAAAUAGAAUUCCAUAGUCUAUAGAACCUUUUAAGUAUCUUAGAAUUUUUUUGACAACCUUUAUGUGUGACACUCUAUAUUCACUCUCGUAAUGUUUGUCUUAAAGUCCAUGUCUUGCGUAUUAUUUAUAAUUGUGGCAUAAAUUGUAGAAUGUUGCGUGAUGGAUUAAAGAUUUUGUUCGUUGUGUUUUCUAAUCCUUAAAAUUGUGAGUUUCCUGCUUUCUAACAAUGGUAGAAUGUGUUUGAUGCUCUUUCAAUGCUUGAACUGUAAUUAUGUAGCUCCUCUAUUUGUUGGUGAAAAUCCAAAAUUGUGUUUUGAGCUCCGUAGAACUACAGGUAUGUUGUGUUAGAACAAGAUUUGUUCCGAUCAAUAUUCUUAGUUUUGAUGAUAACAAGGAUAUAAAUUUUGUGUGAGAUAAUGUGGUACUCUAAUACAUUGCAAUUUCCCUUUCAGGAAAUAUAUAAAGAGUAUGCACAAAUCAGCGCUCAGAAGCUUUGUCUCAAAAGGUUCAGCAUGCAACAUCAGAACAUGGUCUGGCAAGACAUCAGAAGAUGGUCAAGGCAGAAUCAGAACAUGGGUCUAUGGAAGCAUCAGAAGAACUUGAGAUCAGAAGCAGAAGCACUGAAGUUCUCAUGGUAUCACGCUCAGAAGCACUUCAAGGUCAGAAGACGAGAAGAUGCUAUGCACCAAGCUGUUUGACUCUGAUGAUAUUCAAAUAUUAUAUACACAAACAUCAGAUCAGAAGAAAGUACACGUGGCAGGCUACGCUGACUGACAAAAGGAACGUUGAAAGCUAUUAAAGGCAACGUCAGUAGACACAGCGUGAACAAGGCUCGAGGUAGUUGACAAAAGCGUGAAACAUUAAAUGCAAUGCUGUACGGAAUACGCAAAGCAUUAAAUGCGCCCAACGGUCAUUUUCUCAAAGUGCCUAUAUAUAUGAAGUUCUGAUGAGAAGCAAGGUAACCAAUUUCUGGACGAUUUGCUAACAAUUAACUUGCUGAAAAGCUGUUCAAACUCAAAGCUCAGAAACUUCAUCUUCAUCAAAGCUCACUACAUUGCUGUUGUAAUAUAUUAGUGAGAUUAAGCUUAAACGUUAAGAGAAAUAUCACUGUUGUGAUUAUAGCUUUUCAGAAGCAUUUGUAAUACUCUUAGAUUUAAUUACAUUAAUUUGUAAGCAACUAGAGUGAUCAAGUGUUGAUCAGGAUACUCUAGGAAGUCUUAGCUUGUGUCUAAGCAGUUGUAAUUAGAGUGAUCACGUGGUGGUCAGGAUACUCUAAGAAAGUCUUAGCUUGUGUCUAAGCAUUUGUUCCUAGAGUGAUCAGGUUGUGAUCAGGAUACUCUAGAAGACUUAGUCGCGGACUAAGUGGAAAACCAUUGUAAUCUGUUGCGAUUAGUGGAUUAAAUCCUCAUGUGAGGUAAAUCACUCCGUGGGGGUGGACUGGAGUAGUUUAGUUAACAACGAACCAGGAUAAAAAUAACUGUGCAUAUUAUUUUUAUCGUUCAAGUUUUUAGACUACACUUAUUCAAACCCCCCUGUAGCGGGGAAAAUCUGAUAUCGAAGCCAUAAGAUUGACUCGAAUCAAUAUUUCAGUGAAAGUCGCCACGCGCUUUAUUGUUUCCAAAGGAAAAGGGAAAAGAACGAAUAAAACCCAAAGUUUGUUUUUAAAACAAAAAGAA